GGCCACAUCACGUUGAAACAUCAGUUCCCGUACGAUCACUGAAGUUAAGCAACGUCAAACCUGAUCAGUACUUAGAUGGUUGAUUGCUUCGGAUUACCAUGUACUGUAA